CAUUUUGGGGAAUAUAUAUUAUACUUCUCUAAACAGGAAAAAUACUUUAUACAUCAUUUUGGAUUCUUUCUUGUGGGAAGAGUGGCCAGCAUUUCAGCAAGUGCCCUUGUGGCAGAAACUGUCCACUGAACCUGUUUCCUCUUCUUCCUGGGCACCUAGUUAGACGCGGUUUCCAGCCUCCUGUACAGUGAGGCAUGGUCGUGUGUGUUCUGGCUGGCGGAGCAUUUGCAGAAGUGAUCGACACCCACCACUUCCAGGCCUGGCUGGUGGACACCUCAUAACUGGGGUUCUCUAGGCUCCUCCCCUUCAGCUGAAGCAUCAUAAUCUUAGAAGCCACAUGUUGACAAAAACAGGGGCACAAGGAGAAGGGAUUUGGGCCCUAAAUUGUCACUUGGAGGAGAGCUGCUGAACAAUCAGGAACACCUGGUUUGCUCUUUCCAUGAGCAGGAAAUAAAUAUCCGCCAUGUCUGAUUGA